rnacentral:rRNA from 1 species
UCGAGCGGUAAGGCCCUUCGGGGUACACGAGCGGCGAACGGGUGAGUAACACGUGAGCAACCUGCCCCCGACUCCGGGAUAAGCGGUGGAAACGCCGUCUAAUACCGGAUACGACACACCGCCUCAUGGCGGUGUGUGGAAAGUUUUUCGGUCGGGGAUGGGCUCGCGGCCUAUCAGCUUGUUGGUGGGGUAACGGCCUACCAAGGCGAUUACGGGUAGCCGGCCUGAGAGGGCGACCGGCCACACUGGGACUGAGACACGGCCCAGACUCCUGCGGGAGGCAGCAGUGGGGAAUAUUGCGCAAUGGGCGAAAGCCUGACGCAGCGACGCCGCGUGGGGGAUGACGGCCUUCGGGUUGUAAACCUCUUUUACCACCAACGCAGGCUCCCAGUUCUCUGGGGGUUGACGGUAGGUGGGGAAUAAGGACCGGCUAACUACGUGCCAGCAGCCGCGGUAAUACGUAGGGUCCGAGCGUUGUCCGGAAUUAUUGGGCGUAAAGAGCUCGUAGGCGGCGUGUCACGUCUGCUGUGAAAGACCGGGGCUUAACUCCGGUUCUGCAGUGGAUACGGGCAUGCUAGAGGUAGGUAGGGGAGACUGGAAUUCUGGUGUAGCGGUGAAAUGCGCAGAUAUCAGAGGAACACCGGUGGCAAGGCGGGUCUUUGGCCUUACCUGACCUGAAGAAGCGAAAGCAUGGGAAGCGAACAGGAUUAGAUACCCUGGUAGUCCAUGCCGUAAACGUUGGGCGCUAGGUGUGGGGACUUUCCACGGUUUCCGCGCCGCAGCUAACGCAUUAAGCGCCCCGCCUGGGGAGUACGGCCGCAAGGCUAAAACUCAAAGGAAUUGACGGGUGUGGGGACAAGCGGCGGAGCAUGUUGCUUAAUUCGACGCAACGCGAAGAACCUUACCAAGGUUUGACAUCGCCCGUGGACCUGUAGAGAUUCACGGUCAUUUAGUUGCUGGGUGACAGUUGCUGCAUGGCUGUCGUCAGCUCGUGUCUUGAGAUGUUGGGUUAAGUCCCGCAACGAGCGCAACCCCUAUUCUAAGUUGCCAGUGCGUGACAGGUGGUGCAUGGCUGUCGUCAGCUCGUGUCGUGAGAUGUUAGGUUAAGUCGCGCAACGAGCGUCAAGCCCCUUAUUUCUUGUUCCGCACGUAUGGUGCGAUCAUAGGAGACUGCCGCGGUCGACUCGGAGGAAGGUGGGGACGACGUCAAGUCAUCAUGCCCCUUAUGUCUUGGGCUGCAAACAUGCUACAAUGGCCGGUACAAUGGGCGUGCGAGACCGCAAGGUGGAGCGAAUCCCUAAAAGCCGGUCUCAGUUCGGAUUGGGGUCUGCAACUCGACCCCAUGAAGGUGGGAGUCGCUAGUAAUCGCGGAUCAGCAACGCCGCGGUGAAUACGUUCCCGGGCCUUGUACACACCGCCCGUCACGUCAUGAAAGUCGGCAACACCCGAAACUUGUGGUCUAACCCUUCGGGGAGGAAUGAGUGAAGGUGGGGGCUGGCGAUUGGGACGAAGUCGU